UACAGAGGUCCCAAGCGUUGUUCGGAUUCACUGGGCGUAAAGGGUGCGUAGGCGGUCGGGUAAGUCUGAUGUGAAAUCUCACAGCUUAACUGUGAAACUGCAUUGGAUACUAUCCGGCUCGAGGAAUGGAGGGGAGACUGGAAUACUUGGUGUAGCAGUGAAAUGCGUAGAUAUCAGUCGGAACACCGGUGGCGAAGGCGGCUUCUUGGGCCGUUUCUGACGCUGAGGCGCGAAAGCCAGGGGAGCGAACGGG
rnacentral:rRNA from 1 species